AUUGAACGCUGGCGGAAUGCUUAACACAUGCAAGUCGAGCGAGCUGUAGCAAUACAGCUAGCGGCGGACGGGUGAGGAAUACAUAGGAAUCUGCCUCAGAGCGGGGGAUAGCCCGGGGAAACUCGGAGUAAUACCGCAUGAUGUCGCAAGACCAAAGUGGGGGACCGCAAGGCCCCACACUCUGAGAUGAGCCUAUGUCUGAUUAGCUAGUUGGCGGGGUAAUGGCCCACCAAGGCGACGAUCAGUAGCUGGUCUGAGAGGACGAUCAGCCACACCGGAACUGAGACACUGUCCGGACUCCUACGGGAGGCAGCAGUGGGGAAUAUUGGACAAUGGGCGCAAGCCUGAUCCAGCAAUUCCGCGUGGGUGAAGAAGGCCUUCGGGUUGUAAAGCCCUUUAAGUUGGGACAAAAAAAUCGGCGAUAACAUCGCCGGUCUUGAUGGUACCGACAGAAUAAGCAACGGCUAACUCUGUGCCAGCCGCCGCCGUAA
rnacentral:rRNA from 1 species